GCCGCUCUAAAGCUGUGGGCCGUACCACACGGGAGGCGUGCAAGGGAGCGGGAGAGGGUGGAGCAAGGACCCAAUUGGUCCGAAGAGCUAAAUAGGGAACUUUGGAGACAGCCCCAGAGAUUUGAGAGCGCUACAACUACGCGCUCCGUAAACAAGAGGGUGGAAACCGUCCCGAACCACUCCGCCCAGAAACGGGGAAAACGAACCAAUGGGCGCCGGGAAUACGUAAGGAACAAACAUCCUCCAAUCCCUGGCCGAGGCGUAACCCUUCAGCCAAUCCGAGACUAGGGGCCAAACCAAUAGGCUCGCUGUUGGAGGGGGUGACUCGGAGAGCAUCCCGGGAAGCAAGUCGUUUCUAGAAAGCCAAGAGGGAAAACAAGGCAGAAAUAAAAAGGUCUAUUUCCCGUAGGACUUCGCUCUAGCCCUGAGUUAUUUCAUCCCCCAUCACUCCUGGGGGUACUGUCGUUCCGAAGUUCUGGAAGACCGACUUUCCACCCCGGAGGAAAAAUCAAGCCUGGCCAGGAGUGGUGGCCCUGAUUCCGGCUUCACUGAGAAAGUGAAAAACAUCCAACUCCAGCACCCCCUGCCACUCUUCUCAAAGAAAAUGAGGAGAAUUUGUCACCCGCAGACAUACCAAAAAGAAUAUUUUCCAAACAAAGAAAACAAAAAAGAAAAUUGGAACAUCAGAAAAAAAGAAGGAACAUAAUAAGCAAAAAUACUGGUAUGUACUAUAGACUUUCCUUCUCUUCUUGGGUUUUCUAAAUUUCUAAAUUUACAGUGCAAGCAAAAAUUAUAAUACUGUUUGAUGUGGUUCUAAAUGUAUGUAGAGUAAGUGUUUAAGACAAUUAUAUUAAGAGGGAGGGCAACACAUAAAGGGAGAUAAGCUUUCUAUACUUAACUUGAAUUGGUAAAAGGACACUAGUAGACUGUGAUAAGUAUGUAUAGUGUUAUACCUAGAGCAACCACUAAAAAAAAAAUUUGCAAAGAGUAAAAUUAAAAAUACUAUAGAUAAGGGGAAAAUGGGGAGUUACUGCUUAAGGGGUACGGAGUUUCUGUUUGGGAUGAUGAAAAAGUUACUGAAAUGAAUAGUGGUGAUGGCUGUACGACACAGUGUACUGAGUUGCAUAUUUAAAAUGAUUAAAUAUGGGAAAUUUUAUGUUAUGUAUAUUUUGCCAAAAUUUUAAGCAUAGGUAAUUAAAAUAGCUAAUUAAAAAAAAACAUAGCAGUGGUAAUCAUUUUGCAAUAUAUAAGUGUAUCAAAUCAACAUGUUGUACAUCUUAAACUUACAGAAUGUUAUAUAUCAAUUAUAUCUUUGUAAAGUUGGGGAAAAACACUAUAGAUAAAUCAAAAUGUAAUUCUUCCAAAAUGUUCAAGUAGGAACUUCCCUGGUGGCACAGUGGUUAACAAUCUGCCUGCC